ensembl:lincRNA Gm11373 predicted gene 11373
AAAGGGUGGACAGCAGCCACCAUUUAAGAAAGAAGUCCCGCUGAAUGUAGCUUUGUUCAACUAGCCACAAAUGUGGGUAGGGAAGAAAAUUACAAUAACGUAGACGUGUCCAAAGUAAACCCAAAAGGUUGUAAAGUUUUAAAAGUCCACCGAAUUGUGCUCACAUCUUAAUUAGAAAGCAAAUGCUGGCACAUCUCUUCCGAGGAGUUAAACGGUUUGAAUUAUGGAUGAGACGGAUUCCUUCAAGCUGAGCCUCUCAUUUGGACACUCAUGGAACCGGGCAAUGACACAGCCAUAAGAAGCUGCAGCUGAUCACCAGACACCCCUGUGCUUCUCCCACUUCUGAAACUCGAGUGGGCCCCUGAGAUAAGAAUGAGAAUGUCUGUCUCCUGUCACUUUCAUCUGGAGGCCCUGUGAUGACGCCUGCAUCUUGUUUCUUCCCCCAACAGUGGAGGCCACGUGCCAAGCUAUGCGUCAGCAGAUCAAAGCGCUGCUCCAACCCCGAUCAUCUGAGCUUGAUGGAAGGAUGAGGCCUGAAUCCAGAAACUUGCUCUCCUCCCUCCAUACUCAGGCUAUGGCACCUGCGUGUACCCCCUGACUCCAAAUCACAAACACACACACCAUACAUAUACAGACUCAGUGUUAAUAAUAAAUUAAAUUAAAAUUAAAAUAUGUGUUUG